GCUGAAAUAGCUCAAUUGGGAGAGCGUUAGACUGAAGCUCUUAAGGUACCUGGCUCGACCCCGGGUUUCAGCA